rnacentral:rRNA from 1 species
UGAUGAGGCAUGCAAGUCGAACGGAAUAAUACUUCGGUAUUAUUUAGUGGCGGAAGGGUUAGUAAUACAUAGAUAAUUUGUCCUUAACUUGGGAAUAACGGCUGGAAACGGCCGCUAAUACCGAAUGUGGUAUGUUUAGGCAUCUAAAGCAUAUUAAAGAAGGGGAUCUUCGGACCUUUCGGUUAAGGGAGAGUUUAUGGGAUAUCAGCUUGUUGGUGGGGUAAUGGCCUACCAAGGCUUUGACGUCUAGGCGGAUUGAGAGAUUGACCGCCAACACUGGAA